GAUCAUGGCUCAGGAUGAACGCUAGCUACAGGCUUAACACAUGCAAGUCGAGGGGCAUCGAGAAGUUAGCUUGCUAACUUUGUCGGCGACCGGCGCACGGGUGAGUAACGCGUAUCCAACCUUCCCCUUAGUAGGGCAUAGCCCGGCGAAAGUCGGAUUAAUACCCUAUGUUAUCCGACGAGGACAUCUGAAUUGGAUCAAAGAUUCAUCGCUAAGGGAUGGGGAUGCGUCUGAUUAGGUAGUAGGCGGGGUAACGGCCCACCUAGCCCACGAUCAGUAGGGGUUCUGAGAGGAAGGUCCCCCACAUUGGAACUGAGACACGGUCCAAACUCCUACGGGAGGCAGCAGUGAGGAAUAUUGGUCAAUGGACGAGAGUCUGAACCAGCCAAGUAGCGUGCAGGAUGACGGCCCUAUGGGUUGUAAACUCCUUUUAUCAGGGGAUAAAGUCCGCUACGUGUAGCGGUUUGCAGGUACCUGAUGAAUAAGGACCGGCUAAUUCCGUGCCAGCCGCCGC
rnacentral:rRNA from 1 species